rnacentral:rRNA from 1 species
UACGGAGGGUGCAAGCGUUAUCCGGAUUCACUGGGUUUAAAGGGUGCGUAGGCGGACUUAUAAGUCAGUGGUGAAAGCCCGGAGCUUAACUUCGGAACUGCCAUUGAUACUGUAAGUCUUGAGUACACUUGAGGUCGGCGGAAUACAUCAUGUAGUGGUGAAAUACUUAGAUAUGAUGUAGAACACCGAUUGCGAAGGCAGCUCACUAAAUUGUAACUGACGCUGAGGCACGAAAGCGUGGGGAUCAAACAGG